rnacentral:rRNA from 1 species
UACGUAGGGUCCAAGCGUUAUCCGGAAUCACUGGGCGUAAAGCGUUCGUAGGCGGUUUUUCAAGUUGGGUGUGAAAUCCUGUGGCUCAACCAUAUGGACUGUGCCCAAAACUGAAAGACUAGAGCAUAGUAGAGGCAAGUGGAACCUGCGGUGUAGGGGUGACAUCCGUAGAUAUCGCAAAGAACACCAAUGGCGAAGGCAGCUUGCUGGGCUAUUGCUGACGCUCAGGAACGAAAGCGUGGGGAGCGAACGGG